GACAAAUCAGAGGUUGCUGUUUUACUAUUCGGAGAAGCUUUUAGUGGCCGGCCACAGAGUCUGGUAUUACCAGAGAAAGCACUUGGGUUAAGGAUUUCUAAAGAUGAUAAAGAACCCAAACUUUGAGGAAUGGAUCCUACAAACAUAUUGCCAUUUAGAAAAAUAGAUUCUAAGGCCGAAAUCCUGGCUAUAUGAUAAGGAAUCAUACCUGUGAGAAGAUUGUUGACCAAAUUGAGAUAUUCAAGACAUCGAAAAGGACUUUCUGAUAUGCCAUCAGGACUACUUCUAGUUCUGAAACUAAGGAAUGAAAUCUCACCAGAGAGUGUUAUCAGAGAGAUGCCAUACCUUGAGGCUCCUGAGAUUGCCGAAUUCAGAACGAAUUGGUCCAGAAAGCUUGUUUCCACUCAGGUCCACAACUUCCAACUUCAGACAAGAAGCAAACUCUUUUGGGAUCCUCCCAACCAGCAAGUUAUUGGCAAAAGAAAGCUUUUUAAGCUCAGAAAGCCUUCCAAUUGCAGGAGAUAAGCUUCCUUUCAACUGUUUGGAAUCCGAUUCCAGACUCACUACCUUUUUCUCCUUCCCCGCACCAAACCAUGCACAUGGAGACUCCGAUGUGUCCCAGGGACUCAUCAUUCUUAUGAAUGCAUUUUAACAUACACAAUUAGACUUACCACAGAGCUUAGUUUUGACAGUGUAACACCGCCUCUCUUGACUAGACUAAUUGUCUAGUGAAAGAGAGGCGCCGUGACAGCUGUCAGAAAUCAGCAAUCUGUUAAAGAAGCCUUGCAACUCUCUUUCCAUUUUUUGUUUAAAAUUUCCUAUGCAAGGAAUGCUCCCACCACUUCGCUC